CGAUUUCAAUAAUAAGGAACUCGAAGAUGAAGACGCUUCUAUUUCUUUUCUUUCUGUUCCUGGCAACUUUCCGAUCUGCUACUGCUAGAUGCUCGAGUUAUGACUGCAAGGAAAAGUCCGUUGAAAUAAUUGAGCCUCGUGAAGAAGAUGCAAACGUUAUCGAAGUCCCGAAAUUCGAAGAAAACGUUCAAUCUAUCC